CCUGAGAGGACUAUUUGAUGGCAGGACUUUGGACAUCUGGGAAACAGAUCCCAACUGACCUGUUUCAUCAGUUCUUGGGAAAUGACAAAGCAAAUGAGGCAAAAGAAAGCCAGGUCUUGCCAAUGCCCAUGUCCAUUAGAGAAGCAAUUACAGAAGCCAGAACUCCUACCUUCUGCAACCCGUAAACAGUCUUGAUCCAUACUCCCAUUGAGGAAGAAGUGGUAAGAGAAGGAGGAUAAGAGGGCCAUGAACUCCAGCCCCAUCAGGACCCAAAGAAAAAGGAGGAAGGAGUGAGAAAUGAAGGGACUCCUACAAGAUAAUUUCUACUGGUGGACAACAAUUUUGGACUACUAAAGUUAAUAACUCCACCAAGUUGCAGAUGCUUCCAUGAUGUCAACCUGACUUCCCUGAGCAGACAAACUCACCAAUGAGUCCUGGAACCCCAUCUCUCCAGAGCCCUACCCUACUAGGGAAAAAAAAGAAACAGGCUGGGAGUAUGGAUUGACCUGCCAAUGCCCAUAUUCAGCAGAGAAGCAAUUAAA